GACGAACGCUGGCGGCGUGCUUAACACAUGCAAGUCGAACGAUGAAGCCCAGCUUGCUGGGUGGAUUAGUGGCGAACGGGUGAGUAACACGUGGGUGAUCUGCCCUGCACUCUGGGAUAAGCCUGGGAAACUGGGUCUAAUACCGGAUAUGACCUCUUGCUGCAUGGCGAGGGGUGGAAAGUUUUUCGGUGCAGGAUGAGCCCGCGGCCUAUCAGCUUGUUGGUGGGGUAAUGGCCUACCAAGGCGACGACGGGUAGCCGGCCUGAGAGGGCGACCGGCCACACUGGGACUGAGACACGGCCCAGACUCCUACGGGAGGCAGCAGUGGGGAAUAUUGCACAAUGGGCGAAAGCCUGAUGCAGCGACGCCGCGUGAGGGAUGACGGCCUUCGGGUUGUAAACCUCUUUCAGCAGGGACGAAGCGAA
rnacentral:rRNA from 1 species